rnacentral:lncRNA from 1 species
AUGCUCCCACAGCUUCCACAGUCACUAACUCCACUGGUGACCCAGCACCCACAGCUCCCACUGCCGGCCCAGGACCCGCAGCUGCCGCUGCCGACCCAGCACCCCCAGCGGUCCUUGCUGACCUUGCAACUCCAGCGGCCUUUUGUGACGACACUGCCACCCCAGCGGCCUUUGCUGACACUGCAGCCCCAGCCGCCGCUGCCCCUGCAGCCCCAGCCGCAGCUGACCCUGCAGACCCGGCCGUCGCCGACCCUGCAGACCCGGCAGACCCAGACACAGCCUUCGCUGACACUGCAGACACAGCCGCCACAGACCCCACCGCCCCGGCCGUCGCCGACCCCGCAGACCCGGCCGUCGCCGACCCCACAGACCCGGCCAUCGCCGACCCCGCAGACCCGGCAGACUCGGGCACCCCCGCCCCUGCAGUCCCAGGCACCCCCGUCCCUGCAGUCCCAGGCACCCCCAGGCACCCCCGUCCCUGCAGUCCCAGUCACCCCAGGCAUCCCUGUCCCAGGUGACCUAGUCCCAGGUGUCUCAGGUGUCCCGGUCCCAGGUGUCUCAGGUGUCCCGGGCCCAGGUAUCACAGGUGUCCCCGGCCCAGGUAUCACAGGUGUCCCCGGCCCAGGUGUCCCUAGUUUCCUGAUCCCAGGUAUCCCAGGUGUUCCUGUCCCCGCUGUUCCUGGCCCAGUUCCCUUUGAUGUCUGGUGCCUUCCAGUUCCCAACCUCCCUGCGCCGUUAGUUCCUUUGCCGCUUCUGGCUCAAGCAACAGCAGCACCCUCUGCCGACCCGAACCCCCCAGCAUCCGUUCCCGACGCUGAUCCAGCAGUUGGCACGAAUAACACCGCCAAGGGGGACGAGGUUCGUAUGGACGGCACCUCCGACAGCGACGAGGCUCGCGCUGAGGACGUCGCGAAGGGCAAAGCCAAGGAGGCUUCCACCACGAUUACCCCAGCUACGGGUGCUGCAACCUCGGCCUCAUCCCGUCGACGUCGUCCGAGGCUGGGUAAAGGAGAUUGGUUGUGGUCACCUCGCUCCUGA